rnacentral:rRNA from 1 species
ACGGAGAUUAUACGCAGAGGCGAUUUCGGUCAAAUCAUGUGUAAUCUUAGUGGCGGACGGGUGAGUAACGCGUGGGUAACCUGCCUUACACUGGGGGAUAACACUUAGAAAUAGGUGCUAAUACCGCAUAAGCGCACGAAGCCGCAUGGAUUUGUGUGAAAAACUCCGGUGGUGUAAGAUGGACCCGCGUCUGAUUAGCUUGUUGGCGGGGUAACGGCCCACCAAGGCGACGAUCAGUAGCCGGCCUGAGAGGGUGGACGGCCACAUUGGGACUGAGACACGGCCCAAACUCCUACGGGAGGCAGCAGUGGGGGAUAUUGGACAAUGGGGGGAACCCUGAUCCAGCGACGCCGCGUGAGUGAAGAAGUAUUUCGGUAUGUAAAGCUCUGUCAGCAGGGAAGAAAGAAAUGACGGUACCUGACCAAGAAGCCCCGGCUAACUACGUGCCAGCAGCCGCGGUAAUACGUAGGGGGCAAGCGUUAUCCGGAAUUACUGGGUGUAAAGGGAGCGUAGACGAUUAAGUAAGUCUGGAGUGAAAGGCCGGGGCCCAACCCCGGGACUGCUCUCCACACUAUUUAACUUGAGUGCAGGAGAGGUAAGCCGAAUUCCUAGUGUAGC